UACGAAGGGGGCUAGCGUUGCUCGGAAUCACUGGGCGUAAAGAGCUUGUAGGCGGUUUGUCGCGUCUGCUGUGAAAAUCCGGGGCUCAACCCCGGACUUGCAGUGGGUACGGGCAGACUAGAGUGUGGUAGGGGAGACUGGAAUUCCUGGUGUAGCGGUCGAAAUGCGCAGAUAUCAGGAGGAACACCGGUGGCGAAGGCGGUUCUCUGGGCCACUACUGACGCUGAGAAGCGAAAGCAUGGGGAGCAAACAGG
rnacentral:rRNA from 1 species